rnacentral:lncRNA from 1 species
ACAAGUCUCACCAAAUACAAUAAAAGUAACUUCUAAAAAUUACUGCUUUAAAGCUCAAAAAUAUGCAUAAUCACACCAUCAUAUCUCAUCCUCGAUGGUAAACAAAAGUAACUUCUAAAAAAUACUACCUAAAAGAUCAACAUGCAUAUAUAAUCACGAGUCUCCAUCCUCGUUACUAUCGCCUGAAUCUUCAUCAUGCUCAUCCUCAACAUCAACAUCCUACAAGUAGUAGUACAUGGAAUGCAUGUCAAAUAUAUAAAAUGAAUGCAUGCAUUCUAAACAUAAGACUAAGAAAACUGAUUACAUACUAUGGUCUAUGAACAAACAUGAGCAACUUGCAGAUUGCACCUAUUUUAAGCAAUAAUCUCAGCACAAGUUUAUACAUAAAGUGCAACAAAUAGUACUACACCAACGAAAUGAAAAACCAUAUAUAUGUAGGUAAUAAAACCUAAAGCAUGUAACACGUAAAUCUGCAAUCACAUUUGGGUUUAGCCCAAACAACUUAUAGAAGAAAGCAAAUUUAACUCAUGUUUUAUCCUUGUACAUUACCAGAACAAACUGACUGACCGUCAUGUAACAAAUGACCGAAAUAACUUAAAUAUAACAUGGUUCUGGUUCAUGCACAUUUCAAUUUCUUCAUAGUAUUGAUAAAAGGAGGCACUCAAUUAGGAAUUGACAACCACUCGCAAUCUAUGUUAUGCUUAACAAGGAUCAGCCAAUCCUCAACACAAGGAACUGAAACACUACUCAGUCAGACAAUGGUCUAAAAGCACCCCUUUUUUUUCCCAGCAUCAAUUAACUACAAAACAAAUAAGAAAAGGGAAUCUUUUAUUUUGCGCUUGUUAUAUUUGCGUGUGAAAUUAACAGGACAAAAAGAAAGUAAAUAAACCGGACAUUGACUUUUAAAUAAUUCUGCUGAUAGCCAAGAAUUAUUCAAAGGCAAGCAAAUUUAUAUUCUCUCCAAGCCAUAAGUAAGCCGCUUAGAUUAGUGAUUCCAUAUGUGUUGCCAACAAACAAUUCAAAUUGUAAACAAAUGACAUCUUUGAAUAUUAUAUUAAUAUUAUAUUAAUAUUAUCUAUCAUAAUUAAAAAAAUUAUACCUGAAAUUCUGCCCAAACAGCAUCCUUGUGGGCGAUAGGUGUGCUCGCCCACGUAAUCACAGCUGUAGGCCAAUUCUGUAAACACAGCUGUGAUAUGCACUUGACGAUUUUAUUAUCUAAAAAAUUACUAUAAUAUACAACAUCAAUUAGCAUAUAUUAAAGCAAUUUACAUCUAAGUUAUAAUACUUAUGAACAUUUUUCAAACUUAUACUUAUAUAAUACUUAAAAAAAAUUUGCCAGUCUCCCCUACAAUAUGGAUUAGCCACAUGCACGACGACAUGCAUAUAUAGACAUUUCUAGGCACCCAAGACACAAACCAAUAUAAUAUCAAUCAAAACAUUACCAAUAUACAAUAAAUAGAAUCUUAAAUGCUUAUAUAAAAUUGAUAUAUGCGGGACGUACGUGCUAUUCGGAGGAGGGCGAAUCUGAAUAAGAAUCCGAUCAUCCGGAUUAGUAGGGGCCUUGGGCACAUGAUUAGGCCCCCUACCCAAGCCGCGCUUUUUCUGCGCUGCUUCAGAAGCC